CUAAAUGCGGAAGAGAUAAGUGCUGAAAGCAUCUAAGCACGAAACUUGCCCCGAGAUGAGUUCUCCCUGAGACUAUAAGUCUCCUGAAGGAACGUUGAAGACGACGACGUUGAUAGGCCGGGUGUGUAAGCGCAGCGAUGCGUUGAGCUAACCGGUACUAAUGAACCGUGAGGCUUAACCUUACAACGCCGAAG
rnacentral:rRNA from 1 species